UUUAAGUCAGGAUGUCGUGCCUCUUGGAGAGGAACUUGCAGCUGGUGAUAUUUCCGUGAAUAUGCCACCCUUGCUCUUUAGGUAGAACGCACUGUUGAAGUAAGCUUGGCGGAUUUCUCCUGUGCAUUGGUGUUGAAGAGAUUGAAUGUUGUUCUAGUUAGGAAACUAAUGAAGUGGCUUGCUUUGUCUCAAGCUUCUGGAGUGCACCAUACCAUCACGUUCGUGACUUGUACUUGUAGGUAGUGGACAGACUUUGGAGAGUCAGAAUGACAGAUGCAAGAAUAUCGAAUUUCACAGAGAAAAAUGCACAUUUCGUGAGAAAAGUGCAGAUUCGUUGAAAAGUUGACUCUGGUUGAGUGUUACCAUGCAGGCAGGGUGUCUUGGAUCUUGACUCUGCAACCCCUCCCAAGCUUGAUUGAAGAAGAUUCUAUCGUGACCUACUCAGAGUGCGGGCUCUUUCGUGAAGGCUACUGACGGGAAUAGACUCCCUCCAACAUUUGCAUUUUUGUAAGCCAUUUCUUUUAGUUUUAUAUUGUCCCUUAUCUAUUGAGUUGCCCAUGGCUGUUUCUUUUGUGC